rnacentral:rRNA from 1 species
UAAUGGUGGGCACUCUAAGGAGACUGCCGGUGACAAACCGGAGGAAGGUGGGGAUGACGUCAAGUCAUCAUGGCCCUUACGGCCUGGGCUACACACGUGCUACAAUGGUCGGUACAGAGGGUUGCCAAGCCGCGAGGUGGAGCUAAUCUCACAAAACCGAUCGUAGUCCGGAUCGCAGUCUGCAACUCGACUGCGUGAAGUCGGAAUCGCUAGUAAUCGCGAAUCAGAAUGUCGCGGUGAAUACGUUCCCGGGCCUUGUACACACCGCCCGUCACACCAUGGGAGUGGGUUGCACCAGAAGUAGCUAGUCUAACCUUCGGGGGGACGGUUACCACGGUGUGAUUCAUGACUGGGGUGAAGUCGUAACAAGGUAGCCGUAGGGGAACCUGCGGCUGGAUCACCUCCUUAAUCGACGAC